rnacentral:rRNA from 1 species
UACAGGGGGGUGCAAGCGUUGUUCGGAAUUACUGGGCGUAAAGCGCGGGCAGGUGGCCUUUUAAGUCCUUUGUGAAAUCCCGGAGCUCAACUCCGGAUGUGCAUAGGAUACUGGAAGGCUUGGGACUGGUAGAGGCGAGCGGAAUUCCUGGUGUAGCGGUGGAAUGCGUAGAUAUCGGAAGGAACAUCAGUGGCGAAAGCGACUUCCUGGACCAAUACUGACGCUCAUGUGCGAAAGCGUGGGGAGCAAACAGG